rnacentral:rRNA from 1 species
AGUGAACGCUGGCGGUAGGCCUAACACAUGCAAGUCGAACGGAAGCACAGUAAGAGCUUGCCCUUACGGGUGGCGAGUGGCGGACGGGUGAGGAAUACAUCGCCAUCUACUUUUUCGUGGGGGAUAACGGAGGGAAACUUACGCUAAUACCGCAUACGACCUACGGGUGAAAGCAGGGGAUCUUCGGACCUUGCGCGAUUGAAUGAGACGAUGUCGGAUUAGCUAGUUGGCGGGGUAAAGGCCCACCAAGGCGACGAUCCGUAGCGGGUCUGAGAGGAUGAUCAGCCACACUGGAACUGAGACACGGUCCAGACUCCUACGGGAGGCAGCAGUGGGGAAUAUUGGGCAAUGGGCGCAAGCCUGAUCCAGCCAUGCCGCGUGGGUGAAGAAGGCCUUCGGGUUGUAAAGCCCUUUUGUUGGGAAAGAAAAGCAGCAGGUUAAUACCCCGCUGUUCUGACGGUACCCAAAGAAUAAGCACCGGCUAACUUCGUG